rnacentral:miRNA from 1 species
CCGGGCCCGCCCCCGCGG